UUGGGGGGGGUGAGACAAGAACGAAGCAACGUCAGCAGUAGCUGGAACAGUAUUAAUCCAGACACCACGCUCGCUACAUCUCUCCAGCCACCACGCCACCACCGACCCCUCGAGUGUACGCAGCCCAGUGUCCGUCUGUGUCUUGUCGUGGGCGUGACGUUCAGCAGCGGCAGGAACAGCAACGGGAAGCUUGAUCUACGUGGGUCUUCGUGCGGCGAGGUGACGUGCCGCUGCUGUGAGAUUAUCGGACCACACCACAGCACAGCACAGCACAGAGGAGGAGAGGCGUUGACGAUCCAAAGGCCUGACUCCACAGCGGUAAUGAGCCUCGUCUACCUUGCACUUUGACGGACAACGCUCACUACCAACACUUCUAGAAGCCUCCGCCACCGCCGUAAGAUUGCAUCGCGCACACGGUCUACUCUUAACGACCGCCACCGCCGCUGCCGCCGUUGAGGGAGACUGGCUGGGAGUUGGUGAUCCGAAGCCGUGACUGCAGCGAUCCCGUGCGUCCUGCACCAUCAGGGAAGGACUCUCUGGCUUCGCACUGCGCCUACAUUGACCGUUGCCGCCGCCGCUGCUACCGCUACUCGGAGGGGCACUGCCUCGCAUUGGGCCUUCACUGCCGUCCCGCUAAUACACGUGUCGCCGUCGCAGCUACUGGCACUGAGGGACUUCGCCUCGCAGCGGCCUGGCAAACACCUGCUACACCACCACCACUAACUCCACCACCGCAGUCCAGAGAUUCAGCUUCGCAUGGCAGACAUCUCCUAUUCAACGCUUGCUGCCACUACCACCUCAUUAUGGUGGUGUCACUGUACUUGGAUCUGUUGUCACUACUGAAUAAUAAUGUGUAAAGAAA
rnacentral:misc_RNA from 1 species